UACGUAGGGGGCUAGCGUUGUCCGGAAUCAUUGGGCGUAAAGAGCGUGUAGGCGGUCCGGUAAGUCCGCUGUGAAAGUCGGGGGCUCAACCCUCGAAUGCCGGUGGAUACUGUCGGGCUAGAGUGCGGAAGAGGCGAGUGGAAUUCCUGGUGUAGCGGUGAAAUGACAUUGAGAUCGGAAAGAACACCAACGGCGAAAGCACU
rnacentral:rRNA from 1 species